rnacentral:rRNA from 1 species
AUUGAACGCUGGCGGCAGGCCUAACACAUGCAAGUCGAACGGUAACAGGAAGCAGCUUGCUGCUUUGCUGACGAGUGGCGAACGGGUGAGUAAUGUCUGGGAAACUGCCCGAUGGAGGGGGAUAACUACUGGAAACGGUAGCUAAUACCGCAUAACGUCGCAAGACCAAAGAGGGGGACCUUAGGGCCUCUUGCCAUCGGAUGUGCCCAGAUGGGAUUAGCUAGUAGGUGGGGUAACGGCUCACCUAGGCGACGAUCCCUAGCUGGUCUGAGAGGAUGACCAGCCACACUGGAACUGAGACACGGUCCAGACUCCUACGGGAGGCAGCAGUGGGGAAUAUUGCACAAUGGGCGCAAGCCUGAUGCAGCCAUGCCGCGUGUAUGAAGAAGGCCUUCGGGUUGUAAAGUACUUUCAGCGGGGAGGAAGGGAGUAAAGUUAAUACCUUUGCUCAUUGACGUUACCCGCAGAAGAAGCACCGGCUAACUCCGUG